UCAAAACAAAACAAAAACCUAAACUAUAGGAUAGUCAAUCAGUUAUACAUUUGGGAAAAGAUCUUGAUCAAAAAGGGAAAAUACUUUGCUAUGCUUCUGCGCAGCAAAGGAAACCAUGUGAAGAGAGAACCUACAGAAUGGGAGAAAAUCUUUGUUAGCUACUCUUCUGAUAGAGGAUUACUAUCUAGAAUAUAUAAAGAACUCAGAAAACUUUAUACCAAAAAAACCAAAUAACCUUAUUAAUAAAUGGGCAAGUGAAUUAAACAGACACUUCCCAAAAAACCCACAAAUAUGUGAAAAAUGUUCAAACAUCAUUAGCAAUCAGGAAAAUGCAAAUCAAAACUGUACUAAGAUUUCAUCUCACAACAGAAUGGCAGUCAACAAGAAUACAAACAAUAAAUGCCGGAGAGGAUAUGGAGAAAAAGGAACACUUUUAAACUGUUGGUGGAAUUAUAAAUUAGUACAACCACUAUGGAAAUCAGUAUGAAGCUUCCUCAAAAGACUAGGCAUGGAACCACCACAUGAUCCAGCUAUGCUACUCUUCGGUAUUUAUCCUAAAGAAUUAAUCAUUCUAUAGUGAUCCUAUGUUUAUAGCAGCACAAUUCACAAUAGCUGUUGUAGGGACAGACGAGGCAAGGCAUCAAAGAUAGCGGGAAACAGUUUUAUUUGGCUGCAGCCAGGUUCAGAGGGCACAGCUUUUGCUGUAAUCAAUCAAUUCCCUGAACCCUGAGUUCAGGUAGUUUAGAAUUUUAUACUCAGCAUGUAAGGGGAAGGGCUCAGAAAUUCAGUCUGUAGAAGUUCACAUAAAAGCAGUUUU
rnacentral:lncRNA from 1 species